AACGAACGCUGGCGGCAUGCCUAACACAUGCAAGUCGAACGAGACCUUCGGGUCUAGUGGCGCACGGGUGCGUAACGCGUGGGAACCUGCCCUUAGGUUCGGAAUAACUCCCCGAAAGGGGUGCUAAUACCGGAUAAUGCCUUCGGACCAAAGAUUUAUCGCCUUUGGAUGGGCCCGCGUUGGAUUAGCUAGUUGGUAGGGUAAAAGCCUACCAAGGCGACGAUCCAUAGCUGGUCUGAGAGGAUGAUCAGCCACACUGGGACUGAGACACGGCCCAGACUCCUACGGGAGGCAGCAGUGGGGAAUAUUGGACAAUGGGCGAAAGCCUGAUCCAGCAAUGCCGCGUGAGUGAUGAAGGCCUUAGGGUUGUAAAGCUCUUUUACCCGGGAUGAUAAUGACAGUACCGGGAGUAUAAGCUCCGGCUAACUCCGUG
rnacentral:rRNA from 1 species